UACGGAGGAUGCAGGCGUUAUCCGGAAUGAUUGGGCGUAAAGCGUCCGCAGGUGGCUGUGUAAGUCUGCUGUCAAAGAGCAAAGCUCAACUUUGUAAAGGCAGUGGAAACUACACGGCUAGAGUGCGUUCGGGGCAGAGGGAAUUCCUGGUGUAGCGGUGAAAUGCGUAGAGAUCAGGAAGAACACCGGUGGCGAAGGCGCUCUGCUAGGCCGUAACUGACACUGAGGGACGAAAGCUAGGGGAGCGAAUGGG
rnacentral:rRNA from 1 species